UGUCUUUUAAAUGAAGACCUGUAUGAAUGGCAUAACGAGGGCUUAACUGUCUCCUCCCCCCAGUCAAUGAAAUUGAUCUCCCCGUGCAGAAGCGGGGAUAACAACAUAAGACGAGAAGACCCUGUGGAGCUUAAAAUCACGAACAGACCAUGUCAAGAAUAACAAACAAGAACAUCAAACAAAUUGGCCACUGUUUAUGUAUUUUUGGUUGGGGCGACCGCGGGGUAAUAAAUAACCCCCAUGUGGACUAAGAAAACAUUCUUAAAACUAAGAGCCCCCGCUCUAAGUAACAGAACUUCUGACCUUAAUGAUCCGGCCUGGCCGAUCAACGAACCCAGUUACCCCAGGGAUAACAGCGCAAUCCUCUUCUAGAGCCCAUAUCGACAAGAGGGUUUACGACCUCGAUGUUGGAUCAGGACAUCCUAAUGGUGUAGCCGCUAUUAAGGGUUUGUUUGUUCAACAAUUAAAGU
rnacentral:rRNA from 1 species